GACGAACGCUGGCGGCGUGCUUAACACAUGCAAGUCGAGCGGUAAGGCCCUUUCGGGGGUACACGAGCGGCGAACGGGUGAGUAACACGUGGGUGACCUGCCCUCAGCUCUGGGAUAAGCCUGGGAAACCGGGUCUAAUACUGGAUAUGACUCCAUGACGCAUGUUGUGGGGUGGAAAGCCUUGUGCGGCUGAGGAUGGGCCCGCGGCCUAUCAGCUUGUUGGGUGGGGUGAGGCCCUACCAAGGCGACGACGGGUAGCCGGCCUGAGAGGGCGACCGGCCACACUGGGACUGAGACACGGCCCAGACUCCUACGGGAGGCAGCAGUGGGGAAUCUUGCGCAAUGGGCGAAAGCCUGACGCAGCGACGCCGCGUGA
rnacentral:rRNA from 1 species